rnacentral:rRNA from 1 species
AUUGAACGCUGGCGGCAUGCCUUACACAUGCAAGUCGAACGGUAACAGGUCUUCGGAUGCUGACGAGUGGCGAACGGGUGAGUAAUACAUCGGAACGUGCCCGAGAGUGGGGGAUAACGAGGCGAAAGCUUUGCUAAUACCGCAUACGAUCUCAGGAUGAAAGCAGGGGACCGCAAGGCCUUGCGCUCACGGAGCGGCCGAUGGCAGAUUAGGUAGUUGGUGGGAUAAAAGCUGACCAAGCCGACGAUCUGUAGCUGGUCUACGAGGACGACCAGCCAGACUGGGACUGAGACACGGCCCAGACUCCUACGGGAGGCAGCAGUGGGGAAUUUUGGACAAUGGGCGCAAGCCUGAUCCAGCCAUGCCGCGUGCAGGAUGAAGGCCUUCGGGUUGUAAACUGCUUUUGUACGGAACGAAAAGACUCUGGUUAAUACCUGGGGUCCAUGACGGUACCGUAAGAAUAAGCACCGGCUAACUACGUGCCAGCAGCCGCCGUAAAAC